rnacentral:sRNA from 1 species
ACGCAAUCAAAACGACACCACACACGUACCGUCACAUGGUCCCGGGUGCCGCUUAGCGGUCGGAUCCAUGGGGUGCGUGGAGGCGUAAC